GGGGCAGUAGCUCAGUGGUAGGGCCUCCGCCUCGUACGCGGGAAGACCUGGGUUCGAUUCCCGUCUGCUUUC
rnacentral:tRNA from 1 species